rnacentral:rRNA from 1 species
AGCGAACGCUGGCGGCAGGCCUAACACAUGCAAGUCGAACGAACUCUUCGGAGUUUGUGUCGGACGGGUGUGUAACCCGUCGGAACGUUCCCUUAUGUUCGGCCUAACUCUGGGACUCUUGUGCCAACACCGAACGUGCCCUACUGGGGAAGGAUUUAUUGCCCUUCGAGCGGCCCGCGUCUGAUUAGCUAGUUGGUGAGGUAAUGGCUCACUAAGGGGACGAUCAGUAGCUGGUCUGAGAGGAUGAUCAGCCACAUUGGGAUUGAGACACGGCCUAGACUCCUACGGGAGGCAGCAGUGGGGGAUCUUGCGCAGUGGGCGAAAGCAUGACGCAGCCAUGCCGCGUGAAUGAUGAAGGUCUUAGGAUUGUAAAAUUCUUUCACCGGGGACGAUAAUGACGGUACCCGGAGAAGAAGCCCCGGCUAACUUCGUG